AAUGACCAGGACAAAGGGUCGUGACCCCGCGAGGGCAAGCUAACCUCAAAAACCCGGCCUCAGUUCGGAUUGCAGGCUGCAACUCGCCUGCAUGAAG
rnacentral:ncRNA from 1 species